UACGUAGGGUGCGAGCGUUGUCCGGAAUUAUUGGGCGUAAAGAGCUUGUAGGCGGUCUGUCGCGUCUGCUGCGAAAAUCCGGGGCUCAACCCCGGACUUGCAGUGGGUACGGGCAGACUAGAGUGUGGUAGGGGAGACUGGAAUUCCUGGUGUAGCGGUGAAAUGCGCAGAUAUCAGGAGGAACACCGAUGGCGAAGGCAGGUCUCUGGGCCACUACUGACGCUGAGAAGCGAAAGCAUGGGGAGCGAACAGG
rnacentral:rRNA from 1 species